GGGCCUAUCGCGCUGGGCCGAGGUGAUGCUCCGACAGCCCCGGAUCGAUCUGAUAAGGCAGAGGUCGGUGGUUCAAGUCCACCUAGGCCCA
rnacentral:tRNA from 1 species